UACGUAGGGGGCGAGCGUUGUCCGGAAUCAUUGGGCGUAAAGCGCGUGUAGGCGGCCCGGAAAGUCUGGUGUGAAAUCUUAAGGCUCAACCUUAAGCUGUCACUGGAUACUGUCGGGCUUGAGUCCGGAAGAGGCGAGUGGAAUUCCUGGUGUAGCGGUGAAAUGCGCAGAUAUCAGGAGGAACACCGAUGGCGAAGGCAGCUCGCUGGGACGGUACUGACGCUGAGGCGCGAAAGCGUGGGGAGCAAACAGG
rnacentral:rRNA from 1 species